AAUUCAUGAUUUGGGCAUUUUCUCAGCAUCACUUUGAAUCUCUCCCAUGUUUCAGAUAUGGCUUCAUCUGAUCCUUGUUUAAACAUAGAAAUAUCAGACUUUGCUUU
rnacentral:snoRNA from 1 species